rnacentral:tRNA from 1 species
GGGGCAGUAGCUCAGCUGGGAGAGCGCGUCGUUCGCAACGACGAGGUCGCGGGUUCAAAUCCCGUCUGCUCCACCA